UACGUAGGGUGCAAGCGUUGUCCGGAAUCAUUGGGCGUAAAGCGCGUGUAGGCGGCUCGAUAAGUCUGCUGUGAAAGUCCAGGGCUCAACCCUGGGAUGCCGGUGGAUACUGUCGAGCUCGAGUCCGGAAGAGGCGAGUGGAAUUCCUGGUGUAGCGGUGAAAUGCGCAGAUAUCAGGAGGAACACCAAUGGCGAAGGCAGCUCGCUGGGACGGUACUGACGCUGAGACGCGAAAGCGUGGGGAGCAAACAGG
rnacentral:rRNA from 1 species